AGGGGUACCGUCAAUCUACCGGGUAUUAACCGAUAGGGAUUCGUCCCCCUCCACAGAGCUUUACGACCCGAGGGCCUUCAUCACUCACGCGGCGUGGCUGGAUCAGGCUUUCGCCCAUUGUCCAAUAUUCCCC
rnacentral:rRNA from 1 species